rnacentral:piRNA from 1 species
UAAUGGAUUCAUAGAGUGAUGCCCGUGACA